rnacentral:rRNA from 1 species
GUGGGGAAUAUUGGACAAUGGGCGAAAGCCUGAUCCAGCCAUGCCGCGUGUGUGAAGAAGGUCUUCGGAUUGUAAAGCACUUUAAGUUGGGAGGAAGGGCAGUAAGUUAAUACCUUGCUGUUUUGACGUUACCGACAGAAUAAGCACCGGCUAACUUCGUGCCAGCAGCCGCGGUAAUACAGAGGGUGCAAGCGUUAAUCGGAUUUACUGGGCGUAAAGCGCGCGUAGGUGGUUUUGUAAGUUGGAGGUGAAAUCCCCGGGCUCAACCUGGGAACUGCCUCCAAAACUGCAUGACUAGAGUACGGUAGAGGGUAGUGGAAUUUCCUGUGUAGCGGUGAAAUGCGUAGAUAUAGGAAGGAACACCAGUGGCGAAGGCGACUACCUGGACUGAUACUGACACUGAGGUGCGAAAGCGUGGGGAGCAAACAGGAUUAGAUACCCGUGUAGUCC